AACGAACGCUGGCGGCAUGCCUAACACAUGCAAGUCGAACGAGACCUUCGGGUCUAGUGGCGCACGGGUGCGUAACGCGUGGGAACCUGCCCUUAGGUUCGGAAUAACUCCCCGAAAGGGGUGCUAAUACCGGAUAAUGUCUUCGGACCAAAGAUUUAUCGCCUUUGGAUGGGCCCGCGUUGGAUUAGCUAGUUGGUAGGGUAAAAGCCUACCAAGGCGACGAUCCAUAGCUGGUCUGAGAGGAUGAUCAGCCACACUGGGACUGAGACACGGCCCAGACUCCUACGGGAAGCAGCAGUGGGGAAUAUUGGACAAUGGGCGAAAGCCUGAUCCAGCAAGGACGCGUGAGUGAUGAAGGCCUUAGGGUUGUAAAGCUCUUUUACCCGGGAUGAUAAUGACAGUACCGAGAGAAUAAGCUCCGGCUAACUCCGUG
rnacentral:rRNA from 1 species